AGGCCUUAAUGGACCAAGAGACAGAGAUUUAUAAAUAGACAAUGGCAUGGCAUUUAUAGAUGCACCCAGAUCAAGCAUAGCAUUUCCAAAUUUACUGUUCACAAUCACACAAGAAAUGCUUAACGUACCUAGGUCCUUGCGCUUUUUAGGAAUGUGCAGGACCGACUUACCAAUAAGAGCUGAUACAUUCCUCCCCAUGCUGAUCCGUUCAUUGCCCUUCAUCUUCCUCUUGUGUGUGCACAACUCCUUCAAGAA
rnacentral:lncRNA from 1 species